rnacentral:rRNA from 1 species
GACGAACGCUGGCGGUGUGCCUAAUACAUGCAAGUAGAACGCAGUUGCGAACGGGUGAGUAACGCGUAGGUAACUGCCUCAUAGCGGGGGAUAACUAUUGGAAACGAUAGCUAAUACCGCAUACUGUGAGAUGGACCUGCGUUGUAUUAGGGAGUUGGUGAGGUAAAGGCUCACCAAGGCGGCGAUACAUAGCCGACCUGAGAGGGUGAACGGCCACACCGGGACGGAGGCACGGCCCAGGCUGCCACGGGAGGCAGCAGUAGGGAAUCUGCGGCAAAGGGGGGAAGUCUGACCGAGCAAAGCCGCGGGAGUGAAGAAGGUCUUCGGAUUGUAAAGCUCUGUUGUUAGGGAAGCGGUAACUAAAGAGAAAGGGACGGCUAACUACGUGCCAGCAGCCGCGGUAAUUC